CCAACUUCAAGAUAAGAUUUCCCACCGCAAGGGUAAGACCCCAGAAAGACUAUCUGGUUGAUAGGUCGAAGGUGUAAGUGUAGCAAUGUAUUUAGCUUAUCGAUACUAAUAGGUCGAGGACUUGACCAA
rnacentral:rRNA from 1 species